GCAAUCCCAACCCCUACCACUAGGGGGUGGCCUUGCCCUAUAUGCCUCAACCUAACAAUUACAGAUAAAAGAGUCCAAAAUCAGUUCCAUUCUGUAUAAUUCCGUCUUAACAGUGUGCAUGUGACAGCUAUGGCCCAGUCUGGGCUGAGCUGUGCUGAACUCUGUCCAAUUCCUCUAACAUGAGAUUUGGAUCUCAUGUUUUUCCUCUGUUUUCCCUGCCCAGAUCCUCAGCUUCUAUAAGCAAGCCCUAGAAUCAAAACAGAGAAGCAGGUCGGACUCAGGCAAACCUAACAAUUUCUACUUCCAAGCGGAACAAGGAACUUCUAGUCUAAACACCGUUCAGCAUUCUCAAGACUGCACAGAAGGAAACUCUUAGAAGAAUUCAGAUCGGUGAGUAAAACAUGAAUGAGUCUUCACCAAAUCCCCCAGUAUAUCCUAAGCACCUACUAAGUGCUACAUCAGUAGGCUAGGCACCAUGGUAGGGUUACAAUGAUGGGGAAGGCGUUCAUAAUCUAAUUCGGUACUUCUCAAAGUCUCCUCUGAGAGGAAUUCUAGGGAAUAUUAAUAUUGUUUCAAGACAAGAAAGAUUUUCUCAACAGUUAAACAUCAGGAAAUAAGCAAAGAAAUGAAUCAAAGAUAUAAUCCAAGUUUCAGCAGUACAGGACUUUUUAGAUCUUUUAAUAUGUUGAUAUGCAAUGUGAAUGUUUAAGAGAGGGGCACGGUAUGCAGCUUUUCCCCAAAAUUAUUUGAAUACAAUGAGCUUUUUGGUUUGAGCAGCUGGAGGAACUAAUGUUUUUGCAACAUAUGUAGGAAAGCAAUAGCCCAAAUGG
rnacentral:lncRNA from 1 species